AUGUACAUUCCUACAACAUAGCAUUAAUGCACCGGAUCCCAUUAGAACUUUGUAGUUAAGCGCACUCGGGAUAGAGAAUCACUGGGAUGGGAGACUGCCCGAGAAGUCCUACUAUUUUACAUG
rfam:Picea glauca, whole genome shotgun sequence.